AGCGAACGCUGGCGGCAUGCUUAACACAUGCAAGUCGCACGAAGGUUUCGGCCUUAGUGGCGGACGGGUGAGUAACGCGUAGGAAUCUAUCCAUGGGUGGGGGAUAACACUGGGAAACUGGUGCUAAUACCGCAUGAUACCUGAGGGUCAAAGGCGCAAGUCGCCUGUGGAGGAGUCUGCGUUCGAUUAGCUAGUUGGUGGGGUAAAGGCCUACCAAGGCGAUGAUCGAUAGCUGGUUUGAGAGGAUGUUCAGCCACACUGGGACUGAGACACGGCCCAGAAUCCUACGGGAGGCAGCAGUGGGGAAUAUUGGACAAUGGGGGCAACCCUGAUCCAGCAAUGCCGCGUGUGUGAAGAAGGUCUUCGGAUUGUAAAGCACUUUCGACGGGGACGAUGAUGACGGUACCCGUAGAAGAAGCCCCGGCUAACUUCGUGCCAGCCGCCGCGGUAAGAC
rnacentral:rRNA from 1 species